rfam:Schistosoma margrebowiei strain Zambia genome assembly, scaffold: SMRZ_contig0004453
UUACUGCUGAGGAGUCCCACAACAGGGCUAAACGACCGUCCAGUGU